GCUUACGGCCAUACCAACCUGGCUAUGCCGAUCUCGUCUGAUCUCGGAAGCUAAGCAGGUUUGGGCCUGGUUAGUACUUGGAUGGGAGACCGCCUGGGAAUACCAGGUGCUGUAAGCU
ensembl:rRNA 5S_rRNA 5S ribosomal RNA